AGUCCCAAGAUCCUUCGUAGCAGUGAUCCCUGGCAAAUGUUUUGUAUAUGAGCUAGGAAGUUCUGAGCGACCUUGUCAGCAUGGAGGGGGAUCUACAGAGUGUUGUUAUGGUGAUGCCAUUCAGUUCAUUGAAGUCCUUAGUGAUGCUGAGAAGCACACAGUGACGAUCACCAGGAAUUAUUUUUAGUGCUUUAUCAUAUCAGCUUGAAAAGAACCUCCAUUUUGUUGAGAGAUUUCCAUCUGACUUAAAAAGAAUUUUAUAGGCAAUCAUGAAAAUCACACCUGUUUAUGAUAUGAUCUCUGUGUCGUAUUCUCGAAGUUUCUGUAUGAUGGUGAAAUGUUUUAUCAAAGAUUUGGGGUGGGUCAGAAGCAAGCAUUGCUUUCAAAAGUGAGAGAAGGGCCACUGGGAAAGGCACCUCACCUUGCAGAAGGUAGAGCCCUGGAGCUGCCGGCUUCUCCUAAGCGACUGUGUUCGAACUAGAGUUGUGUCCUCCUGAGGGUUAUAACUUCUGAAAAUAGAGGCUGUUCUAAGUUCUAAAACAAGCGAACACCAAAUACUUGAACAAGGGCUGUUAUCCAGGAGUACUUGAACAAUUGUGGCCACUGAAAGGCUUUCUAGGACCACUCAAAUCUUGGGAAAUUUCCUUGAAAUACUGAGGGCACAGGAAAUCGCUACUCUUGGCAUCGAGAACAUAUGUCAAAGCUGGAAGAAACCUCAGAGAUCAUGUAUCCACCUCUGUCCUGUAAAAGAAGAUACUAAGGGUCAGAUUGAAAAAUGUUUCAUCUCUGAUCAGAUCGAUCACGAAGGUCGUUCUUCAGAUGCUAUGGAGAAAAUGAAAAUUCCUGAAUCAAGACUGUGGGAUUGAAGAAAACAAGAUCCUGGUGGGAAAUGUGGGGGCAGCUCUUUGGCUAUUUUGACAACAGUAGACACGUCAACUUGUGGGGUAGAUCUCUGCAAGGGGUUUCAGGCCCCAACCUGCAGCAGGAGCUCACCUGGCUCUACCUGGCUCUACUUUAUGGGCUGUGUGACCUUAAAGGCGAUCAUCUCUUGGCCUCUCAGUUUCCACAUAUGUGAAACAGGCAUAACCUACCAUAGGACCGUUACGGGGGUGAAGUGAGUGCCCUCCCUGAGUGCCUGGCUCAUACAUGUGUUCAGUGUAUAAUGGUUGUUCAUUAUCAUUAAUGGGAAAACGCCUUCCUCCGGGACCAGUAGUGUUUUAUUCAAGUCCUGCGCCUUGUCACAGAGCUCCUGGUAUUCUCUGCAGCAGCACUACACAGUGGUCUACACGCCGACUGGGGGCCGGUCAGGACAAGAUGGCGGCGGUGGCUGGCUUCCGGGU